rnacentral:rRNA from 1 species
UGGCUCAGAACGAACGCUGGCGGCAGGCUUAAUACAUGCAAGUCGAGGGGCAGCAGGACUGUAGCAAUACAGUUGCUGGCGACCGGCAAACGGGUGCGGAACACGUACGCAACUUACCCAAAACUGGGGAAUAGCCCGGGGAAACCCGGAUUAAUACCUCGUAACAUAAUGAAGUGGCAUCACUUUAUUAUUAUAGAUUUAUCGCUUAAAGAUGGGCGUGCGCCUGAUUAGGUAGUUGGCGGGAUAUCUGCCCACCAAGCCUGCGAACAGUAACUGGCGUGAGAGCGUGACCAGUCACACGGGCA